rnacentral:sRNA from 1 species
UCACGAUAUUGUCCAUGCAAGUCAUCCU